rnacentral:rRNA from 1 species
ACGGGUGAGUAACGCGUGGGAAUCUACCCAUCCCUACGGAAUAACGCAUGGAAACGUGUGCUAAUACCGUAUACGCCCUACGGGGGAAAGAUUUAUCGGGGAUGGAUGAGCCCGCGUUGGAUUAGCUAGUUGGUGGGGUAAAGGCCUACCAAGGCGACGAUCCAUAGCUGGUCUGAGAGGAUGAUCAGCCACAUUGGGACUGAGACACGGCCCAAACUCCUACGGGAGGCAGCAGUGGGGAAUAUUGGACAAUGGGCGCAAGCCUGAUCCAGCCAUGCCGCGUGAGUGAUGAAGGCCUUAGGGUUGUAAAGCUCUUUCACCGGAGAAGAUAAUGACGGUAUCCGGAGAAGAAGCCCCGGCUAACUUCGUGCCAGCAGCCGCGGUAAUACGAAGGGGGCUAGCGUUGUUCGGAAUUACUGGGCGUAAAGCGCACGUAGGCGGACUUUUAAGUCAGGGGUGAAAUCCCGGGGCUCAACCUCGGAACUGCCUUUGAUACUGGAAGUCUGGAGUAUGGAAGAGGUGAGU